GGAGGCAACUCUGAUGGUGCAACGCCGCGUGGAGGAUGACGGUCCUAGGAUUGUAAACUCCUGUCAUUGGGGAGUAAGACUUAAGCGUUAAGAGCGUUUAAGUUUGAUAGUACCCAAAGAGGAAGGGACGGCUAACUUCGUGCCAGCAGCCGCGGUAAUACGAAGGUCCCAAGCGUUGUUCGGAAUCACUGGGCGUAAAGCGUGUGUAGGCUGCGCGGAAAGUCAAAUGUGAAAGCCCGGGGCUCAACCUCGGAACUGCAUUCGAUACUCCCGUGCUAGAGUAAUGGAGAGGUAAGUGGAAUUCCUGGUGUAGCAGUGAAAUGCGUGGAUAUCAGGAGGAACAUCAAUGGCGAAGGCAACUUACUGGACAUUUACUGACGCUCAGACACGAAGGCUAGGGUAGCGAAAGGGAUUAGAUACCCCUGUAGUCCUAGCAGUAAACGGUGCUCGCUUGGUGUGGGAGGAUUCGACCCCUUCUGUGCCGGAGCUAACGCGUUAAGCGAGCCGCCUGGGAAGUACGGUCGCAAGACUAAAACUCAAAGAAAUUGACGGGGACCCGCACAAGCGGUGGAGUAUGUGGCUUAAUUCGAUGCAACGCGAAGAACCUUACCUAGGCUUGACAUGCUUGUCGUACUCUCCCGAAAAGGAGAGGUCACUUCGGGUGGACAAUGCACAGGUGCUGCAUGGCCGUCGUCAGCUCGUGUCGUGAGAUGUUUGGUUAAGUCCAGCAACGAGCGCAACCCCUGUGAACUGUUGCCAGCGCGUAAAGGCGGGGACUCUGUUCAGACUGCCCAGAUCAACUGGGAGGAAGGUGGGGACGACGUCAGGUCAGUAUGGCCCUUACGCCUAGGGCUGCACACGUACUACAAUGCCCAGCACAAUGAGAACCGAGACCGCAAGGUGGAGGAAAUCUGCAAAACUGGGCCCAGUUCGGAUUGGAGGCUGCAACUCGCCUCCAUGAAGUCGGAAUCGCUAGUAAUGCCGUAUCAGCUACGACGGCGUGAAUACGUUCCCGGGUCUUGUACACACCGCCCGUCACAUCAUGGAAGCCGGUCGCACCCGAAGUAUAUGCGCUAACUUUAUUGAAGCAGUAUCCUAAGGUGAGGCUGGUAACUGGGAUGAAGUCGUAACAAGGUAGCCGUAGGGGAACCUGCGGCUGGAUCACCUCCUUU
rnacentral:rRNA from 1 species